rnacentral:rRNA from 1 species
AGUAAUGUCUGGGAAACUGCCUGAUGGAGGGGGGUAACUACUGGAAACGGUAGCUAAUACCGCAUAAUGUCUUCGGACCAAAGUGGGGGACCUUCGGGCCUCACGCCAUCGGAUGUGCCCAGAUGGGAUUAGCUAGUAGGUGGGGUAAUGGCUCACCUAGGCGACGAUCCCUAGCUGGUCUGAGAGGAUGACCAGCCACACUGGAACUGAGACACGGUCCAG